rnacentral:rRNA from 1 species
AGGACGAACGCUGGCGGCGUGCUUAACACAUGCAAGUCGAACGGAAAGGCCCUUCGGGGUACUCGAGUGGCGAACGGGUGAGUAACACGUGGGCAACCUGCCCUUAGCUCUGGGAUAGCUCCGGGAAACCGGAAUUAAUACCGGAUAUGACCUAGGCCGACAUCGGCCGUGGUGGAAAGUUUUUCGGCUAGGGAUGGACUCGCGGCCUAUCAGCUAGUUGGUGGGGUAAUGGCCUACCAAGGCGACGACGGGUAGCCGGCCUGAGAGGGCGACCGGCCACACUGGGACUGAGACACGGCCCAGACUCCUACGGGAGGCAGCAGUGGGGAAUCUUGCGCAAUGGGCGAAAGCCUGACGCAGCGACGCCGCGUGGGGGAUGAAGGCCUUCGGGUUGUAAACCCCUUUCAGCAGGGACGAAGCGAAAGUGACGGUACCUGCAGAAGAAGCGCCGGCUAACUACGCGCCAGCAGCCGC